rnacentral:rRNA from 1 species
AUUGAACGCUGGCGGCCGGCUUAACACAUGCAAGUCGAGCGAGCGGCGGACGGGUGAGUAAUGUCUGGGAAACUGCCUGAUGGAGGGGGAUAACUACUGGACACGGUAUCUAAUACCGCAUACCCUCAGCUGUGCCCAGAUUGGAUUAGCUCGUAGGUGGGGUCAUGGCUAACCUAGGCGACGAUCCCUAGCUGGUCUGAGAGGAUGACCCGCCACCCUGUAACGGAGAUACGGUCCAGACUACGAAGGGAGGCAGCAGUGGGGAAUAUUGCAAAAUGGGCGCAAGCCUGAUGCAGCCAUGCCGAUUGGGUGAAGAAGGCCUUCGUGUUGUAAAGCACUUUCAGCGAGGAGGCGUUACUCGCAGAAGAAGCACCGGCUAACUCCGUGCCAGCAGCCGCGGUAAUAC